UUUCUUUUCUCUUUUCUUCAAGUAAUGAAAAAUUCAGAAAAAAGAAUCAGGAAUUAGGGUUUUCUGAAAGGAAAUUAAUCGGCAAGGAGAGAACCAAAAAUGAACAGCCAAGGGCGGAGCUCAGGUAAAGCUAAUACAUCCCGUGUUAGAAUAGAAA